rnacentral:tRNA from 1 species
GGCCUAUAGCUCAGAUGGUUAGAGCGCACGCCUGAUAAGCGUGAGGUCGAUAGUUCAAUUCUAUCUAGGCCCACCAU